UGCCCAGAUGGCGGAAUUGGUAGACGCACUAGGUUCAGGUCCUAGCGGUGGCAACACUGUGGAGGUUCGAGUCCUCAGACGCAGCCA
rnacentral:tRNA from 1 species